CAGUCGCCGCGGGAAUACGUAGGGUGCAAGCGUUAAUCGGAAUUACUGGGCGUAAAGCGUGGGCAGGCGGUUGUGUAAGUCUGAUGUGAAAGCCCCGGGCUCAACCUGGGAACUGCAUUGGAGACUGCACAGCUAGAGUGCGUCAGAGGGGGGUAGAAUUCCGCGUGUAGCAGUGAAAUGCGUAGAGAUGCGGAGGAAUACCGAUGGCGAAGGCAGCCCCCUGGGAUGACACUGACGCUCAUGCACGAAAGCGUGGGGAGCAAACAGGAUUAGAUACCCGCGUAGUCCCUGUCUCUUAUAC
rnacentral:rRNA from 1 species